rnacentral:rRNA from 1 species
GUAGGCGGUUUAAUAAGUGAAUAGUGAAACCUGGUGGCUCAACCAUACAGACUAUUAUUCAAACUGUUAAACUCGAGAAUGGUAGAGGUAACNUGGAAUUUCUAGUGUAGGAGUGAAAUCCGUAGAUAUUAGAAGGAACACCGAUGGCGUAGGCAGGUUACUGGGCCAUUUCUGACGCUAAGGCACGAAAGCGUGGGGAGCGAACCGGAUUAGAUACCCGGGUAGUCCACGCCGUAAACGAUGGAUACUAGCUGUUGGAGGUAUCGACCCCUUCAGUAGCGAAGCUAACGCGUUAAGUAUCCCGCCUGUGGAGUACGGCCGCAAGGCUAAAACAUAAAGGAAUUGACGGGGACCCGCACAAGCGGUGGAUUAUGUUCUUUAAUUCGAUGAUAACCGAAGAACCUUACCAGGGCUUGACAUCCAGGGAAGGUCUGCGAAAGUAGACUGUGCCUUUUGGAACCCUGUGACAGGUGAUGCAUGGCCGUCGUCAGCUCGUGUCGUGAGAUGUUAGGUUAAGUCCUUCAACGAGCGCAACCCUUGUGAAUAGUUGUAUUUUUCUAUUCAGACUGCCCCGGUAACGGGGAGGAAGGAGGGGGAUGAUGUCAGGUCAGUAUUUCCCUUACGUCCUGGGCUAGAAACGUAAUACAAUGGCUAGUACAAUGCGCAGCGAAGCCGCGAGGUGAAGCAAAUCGCAUCAAAGCUAGUCCCAGUUCG